AUUGAACGCUGGCGGCAGGCCUAACACAUGCACGUCGAACGAGUGGCGGACGGGGGAGUAUUGUCUGGGAAACUGCCCGACGGAGGGGAAUAACUACUGUAAACGGUAGCUAAUACCGCAUACCAUCGGAGGUGCCCAGAUGGAAUUAGCGGGUAGGUGGGGUAACGGCUCACCUAGCCGACGAUCCCUAGCUGGUCUGAGAGGAUGACCAGCCUCACGGGAACUGAGACACGGUCCAGACUCCUACGGGAGGCAGCAGUGGGGAAUAUUGCACAAUGGGCGCAAGCCUGAUGCAGCCAUGCCGCGUGUAUGAAGAAGGCCUUCGGGUUGUAAAGUACUUUCAGCGAGGAGGCGUUCCUCGCAGAAGAAGCACCGGCUAACUCCGUGCCAGCAGCCGCGGUAAUAC
rnacentral:rRNA from 1 species